rnacentral:rRNA from 1 species
UUUUAUGAGAGUUUGAUCCUGGCUCAGGACGAACGCUGGCGGCGUGCCUAAUACAUGCAAGUCGAACGCUUUUGUUUUCACCGGAGCUUGCUCCACCGAAAACAAAAGAGUGGCGGACGGGUGAGUAACACGUGGGUAACCUGCCCUCAAGCGGGGGAUAACACUUGGAAACAGGUGCUAAUACCGCAUAACAAUCAGAAUCGCAUGAUUUUGAUUUGAAAGGCGCUUUUGCGUCACUUGAGGAUGGACCCGCGGUGCAUUAGCUAGUUGGUGAGGUAACGGCUCACCAAGGCCACGAUGCAUAGCCGACCUGAGAGGGUGAUCGGCCACACUGGGACUGAGACACGGCCCAGACUCCUACGGGAGGCAGCAGUAGGGAAUCUUCGGCAAUGGACGAAAGUCUGACCGAGCAACGCCGCGUGAGUGAAGAAGGUUUUCGGAUCGUAAAACUCUGUUGUUAGAGAAGAACAAGGGUGAGAGUAGAAUAUUCACCCCUUGACGGUAUCUAACCAGAAAGCCACGGCUAACUACGUGCCAGCAGCCGCGGUAAUACGUAGGUGGCAAG